GAUGAACGCUGGCGGCGUGCCUAGUACAUGCAAGUCGAACGCUGGAGAUCUAGCUUGCUAGAUCGAAGGAGUGGCGAACGGGUGAGUAAUACAUAAGCAACCUACCCACGAAGACUGGGAUAAUCUCUGGAAACGGGGACUAAUACCGGAUAGGUAAUCGGAAGGCAUCUUCUGGUUAUUAAAGGUUAAAAACACUGGUGGAUGGGCUUAUGGCGCAUUAGUUAGUUGGUGAGGUAACGGCCCACCAAGACGAUGAUGCGUAGCCGGCCUGAGAGGGUGAACGGCCACAUUGGGACUGAGACACGGCCCAGACUCCUACGGGAGGCAGCAGUAGGGAAUUUUCGGCAAUGGGGGCAACCCUGACCGAGCAACGCCGCGUGAGUGAAGACGGCCUUCGGGUUGUAAAGCUCUGUUGUAAGGGAAGAACGGUAGAUAGAGAAUAUCUAAGUGACGGUACCUUACCAGAAAGCCACGGCUAACUACGUG
rnacentral:rRNA from 1 species